GACAGAGGGGGCAAGCGUUGCUCGGAAUUACUGGGCGUAAAGGGCGCGUAGGCGGGAUGGCAAGUCGGUCGUGAAAUCCCUCGGCUCAACCGAGGAACGUCGAUCGAUACUGCUGUUCUUGAGGAUUGCAGAGGUGAGUGGAAUUCCUGGUGUACCGGUGAAAUGGGUAGAUAUCGGGAGGAACAUCAGUGGCGAAGGCGGCCCUCUGGUCCAGUACUGACACUCAAGUGCGAAAGCGUGGGGGAGCAAACAGG
rnacentral:rRNA from 1 species